CUCGUAGUUGGAUUUCGGGUGGGUCUCAGCGGUCCGCCUAUGGUGAGUACUGCUGUGGCCUUCCUUACUGUCGGGGACCUGCUUCUGGGCUUCAUUGUCCGGGACAGGGAUUCGGCAUGGUUACUUUGAGUAAAUUAGAGUGUUCAAAGCAGGCUUACGCCGUGAAUACUUUAGCAUGGAAUAACAUGAUAGGACUCUGCCCUAUUCUGUUGGCCUGUAGGAGUGGAGUAAUGAUUAAGAGGAACAGUCGGGGGCAUUCGUAUUUCAUUGUCAGAGGUGAAAUUCUUGGAUUUAUGAAAGACGAACUACUGCGAAAGCAUUUGCCAAGGAUGUUUUCAUUAAUCAAGAACGAAAGUUGGGGGCUCGAAGACGAUUAGAUNCANNUCGUAGUCA
rnacentral:rRNA from 1 species